GAUGAACGCUGGCGGCGUGCCUAAUACAUGCAAGUCGAGCGAACGGACGAGAAGCUUGCUUCUCUGAUGUUAGCGGCGGACGGGUGAGUAACACGUGGAUAACCUACCUAUAAGACUGGGAUAACUUCGGGAAACCGGAGCUAAUACCGGAUAAUAUUUUGAACCGCAUGGUUCAAAAGUGAAAGACGGUCUUGCUGUCACUUAUAGAUGGAUCCGCGCUGCAUUAGCUAGUUGGUAAGGUAACGGCUUACCAAGGCAACGAUGCAUAGCCGACCUGAGAGGGUGAUCGGCCACACUGGAACUGAGACACGGUCCAGACUCCUACGGGAGGCAGCAGUAGGGAAUCUUCCGCAAUGGGCGAAAGCCUGACGGAGCAACGCCGCGUGAGUGAUGAAGGUCUUCGGAUCGUAAAACUCUGUUAUUAGGGAAGAACAUAUGUGUAAGUAACUGUGCACAUCUUGACGGUACCUAAUCAGAAAGCCACGGCUAACUACGUGCCAGCAGCCGCGGUAAUACGUAGGUGGCAAGCGUUAUCCGGAAUUAUUGGGCGUAAAGCGCGCGUAGGCGGUUUUUUAAGUCUGAUGUGAAAGCCCACGGCUCAACCGUGGAGGGUCAUUGGAAACUGGAAAACUUGAGUGCAGAAGAGGAAAGUGGAAUUCCAUGUGUAGCGGUGAAAUGCGCAGAGAUAUGGAGGAACACCAGUGGCGAAGGCGACUUUCUGGUCUGUAACUGACGCUGAUGUGCGAAAGCGUGGGGAUCAAACAGGAUUAGAUACCCUGGUAGUCCACGCCGUAAACGAUGAGUGCUAAGUGUUAGGGGGUUUCCGCCCCUUAGUGCUGCAGCUAACGCAUUAAGCACUCCGCCUGGGGAGUACGACCGCAAGGUUGAAACUCAAAGGAAUUGACGGGGACCCGCACAAGCGGUGGAGCAUGUGGUUUAAUUCGAAGCAACGCGAAGAACCUUACCAAAUCUUGACAUCCUUUGACAGCUCUAGAGAUAGAGCCUUCCCCUUCGGGGGACAAAGUGACAGGUGGUGCAUGGUUGUCGUCAGCUCGUGUCGUGAGAUGUUGGGUUAAGUCCCGCAACGAGCGCAACCCUUAAGCUUAGUUGCCAUCAUUAAGUUGGGCACUCUAAGUUGACUGCCGGUGACAAACCGGAGGAAGGUGGGGAUGACGUCGAAUCAUCAUGCCCCUUAUGAUUUGGGCUACACACGUGCUACAAUGGACAAUACAAAGGGCAGCGAAACCGCGAGGUCAAGCAAAUCCCAUAAAGUUGUUCUCAGUUCGGAUUGUAGUCUGCAACUCGACUACAUGAAGCUGGAAUCGCUAGUAAUCGUAGAUCAGCAUGCUACGGUGAAUACGUUCCCGGGUCU
rnacentral:rRNA from 1 species